rnacentral:lncRNA from 1 species
UUUUUCCUUUUCUGCAGACUCAAAACUCAAAUUUUUACUAACAGGUACUUGUUGCAUAGUCAAAAUCAUACCAUAAUUGCCUGCCACUCGUUUUGCUUCUGUAUCAGCUGCAUUAUUUCCCCUAAUUUGAUAACUUGUACCUCGCUGGUGUCCCUUUAUAUGUACAACUGCUAUUUUAUUCGGCAUUUUCAAUGCCCCCAGAACUCGCCGAAUUAAUUCCGGGUGUAUCAGUUCUUUUCCCUGUGAGUUAACAAAUCCUCUUUCCUCCCAUAUUUUUCCAAAAGUGUGUACUACUCCGAACGCAUAGCGUGAGUCUGUAUAUAUAGUUCCAUCCUUUCCCUUCAGUGACACUAAUGCUUUCCACAAUGCAUACAGCUCACAGGCUUGAGCCGACCAGCUGGCACUCAGGGGGCCUGAUUCUAUUGUCUUAAAUUCUCCUUUUUCCAACUUAACGAUGGCAUAUCCGGACAAUCGUUUACCUUCCACUAUUCGUGAUGACCCAUCUAUAAAUAAUACUUCUCCACAUUGUAGUUCUUCUUCUUCUAAGUCUGGCCUAAUGCGUGUCUGCUGUUCAAUUGUUUGAAAACAAUUGUGCAAUAGUUCAUUACCUUCUCCUGGGUACAAAAAUUCAGCGGGGUUAACUGCUCCAAUAGUUUUCAAAGAUAGUUUAGGGGAUUCUAUAAGUAUUCCCUCAUACUUUAAUAAUCGGCUAUCUGUAAGCCAUUUUUCUGCUUUUUGUUGUAACACUCCCCUGAUGUUAUGAGGCGCAUAUAAGACAACUUCUCCAUUAAAGGUAAUGCGAUUCGUUUCCUCAAGUAAUAAGGCAGCAGCAACAAUGAUUUGUAAACAACUCGGCCAACCCCUGCUCACAGGAUCCAACAGCUUUGAUAGGUAUGCCACCGGUUUCUUUUGUCCGGCCCAUUCCUGAGUUAAUACUCCGAAUGCCGUUCCUUCAUGUAUGUUAACAAAUAAAUGGAAUGGCCGCUUUAAAUCUGGUAGGCUUAAAACCGGUGCUUGACUUAGCUCCCUUUUGAGACUGACAAACUGCUCUUGAUCCUGAGGGGUCCACUUGGGUAUUUUGUCUUUAGACAGUUGUUCAUAUAAAAAUUUAACUUUAAAGCUGUAGUUCUCUAUCCAUUGCCUACAAUACCCAAAUAGCCCUAAUGCCUGCCGAAUUUGCCUCUUAGUGACAGGCAUAGGUAAUUCCAGAAUUCCUUUAAUGCGCUCUGGAUCCAAUAUCUUCUUGCCGUUAAACAAAUAAUGCCCCAAAUAUUUCACUUUUUCCUCCACAAAUUGUAACUUUUCUUGUGAUACUCGUAGUCCCUUUUGUGCAAGAAAGUUUAGGAGUCGAAUGCUUUCUUUCCUUACAUCCUCCUUAUUAUUCCCUGCUAUGAGCAGAUCAUCUACAUACUGUAACAGCACGUUUCCCGUUUGUACCUGGUAUUCUUUUAAGAGCUCUUCCAGGGCCUGUCCAAACAGAUUAGGGGACUCAGUGAACCCUUGGGGAAGCACAGUCCAUCUCAAUUGCUGUCUACGGCCUGUCUCUAUGUCUUCCCAUUCAAAGGCAAAAUAAUCACGGCAUUCUUCUGCCAGUGGACAGGCCCAAAAGGCAUCCUUUAAGUCAGCCACACUAUACCAGGAGUUAUGGGGUCCUAGCUUGCUUAGCAGUGUGUAUGGAUUUGCUACUACAGGGAAUCGGGUGAUAGUUCUUUUGUUUAUUUCCCUUAAAUCAUGUACGAGUCGAUAUUUCCCAUUUGGUUUCUUUACAGGCAGAAUGGGGGUGUUAAAGGGUGACAUACAAGGCUCUAAGAUUCCUUGUGCUAACAAUCGAUCAAUUUCUGGUUUUAAUCCCCUCCGUCCUUCUAGGGAUAUGGGAUAUUGCCUUACCCUCACAGGUAUGUGGGGUUCGGAAAGUUGGAUUUUAAUCGGUGGGAUUUUCAGUCUACUAAUUGUGUCCGGAGAGUACCAGACAUCGGGGUUAAUUUGUUUUUGAUCAUCCACGGUUAAAGGAUAAGCAGACACUGUUAGCUCCUGAUUUUUCACUUUAAUUUCUAAUUGCAAUUCAACAAUUAAAUCUCGUCCUAACAGAUUAAAUUCUGCUUCAGGGACGAGCAAGAGUUCACCCAUUCCAAAUUUAUUUUCAGUUUCGAAUACCACAUUUUUGAUUUUGCUUACUUUAAAGGGUUCUCCUUUUGCCCCAAUUACUUGUACCUUUUCAGGGGAAACUUUACAUCCCUCAGGUAUUUGCUUAAUAGUUGAUUUCUCAGCCCCAGUGUCUACUAAAAAGGUGAACUCUUGUUUAUGGGGACCUAUUUUUAAUUUUAUCAAGGGCUCAUGAUGACUCCGGUCCCCUAAGAUAUAGAGCCCCUGACUCUCCUAUUCCGUUUUCAAUAUUCCCUCAUCCCUGAUCCUUUCUCUGCAAUUCUUCUUUAUAUGUCCCUUCUUUCCACAGUAAAAACAACAUCUCUGCUCCUUCUUUACUAUUACGUUCCCUUGUUUCGUUCCAGCAGAUCUGUGUUCACCAGUUCGUCCUUUGCGAUCCUCUCUGACCGCUGCUACCAUCAUUUUUACUUGUCGCUUGUUGCUCUCUUCUUCCCGCCUUACGUAGACUUUCUGAGCUUCCCUCAAUAAUUCAUCCAACCCUCUAUUCUGCCAGUCUUCUAACUUUUCAAUCUUCUUUCUAAUAUCUUCCCAUGAUUUUGCCACAAACUGAGUUUUGAGGAGCGCUUGCCCUAAAGGGUCGUCUGGAUUUACCCCAGAGUACAGCUGAAGGGCUUUCCUCAGUCGUUCCAGCCACUCAGUAGGGCUUUCAUCUUUCUUUUGCAUUUCAUUAAAUGCUUUAUUGAUAUUCUGGCCACGGGGUACUGCUUCUCUAAUUCCC